rnacentral:rRNA from 1 species
CGGCGAGUGAAGCGGCAAGAGCUCAAAUUUGAAAUCUGGCCCCUCCGGGGUCCGAGUUGUAAUUUGCAGAGGAUGCUUCGGGUGCGGCCCCUGUCUAAGUGCCCUGGAACGGGCCGUCAGAGAGGGUGAGAAUCCCGUCUUGGGCAGGGUGCCCGUGCCCGUGUGAAGCUCCUUCGACGAGUCGAGUUGUUUGGGAAUGCAGCUCAAAAUGGGUGGUAAAUUUCAUCUAAAGCUAAAUACCGGCCGGAGACCGAUAGCGCACAAGUAGAGUGAUCGAAAGAUGAAAAGCACUUUGAAAAGAGAGUUAAACAGCACGUGAAAUUGUUGAAAGGGAAGCGCUUGCAACCAGACUCGGCCUCGGGGUUCAGCCAGCAUUCGUGCUGGUGUACUUCCCCGGGGCCGGGCCAGCGUCGGUUUGGGCGGCCGGUCAAAGGCCCCAGGAAUGUAUCGUC